AGCCUUUCGAAAGAAAGAUUAAUACCCGAUGGCAUAAUGAUUCCGCAUGGUUUCAUUAUUAAAGGAUUCCGGUAAAGGAUGGGGAUGCGUUCCAUUAGGUUGUUGGUGAGGUAACGGCCCACCAAGCCUUCGAUGGAUAGGGGUUCUGAGAGGAAGGUCCCCCACAUUGGAACUGAGACACGGUCCAAACUCCUACGGGAGGCAGCAUG
rnacentral:rRNA from 1 species